rnacentral:rRNA from 1 species
UUGGAUGAUGUGUGCAAUUUAAACCUCUUCCAGAGUAUCAAUUGGAGGGCAAGUCUGGUGCCAGCAGCCGCGGUAAUUCCAGCUCCAAUAGCGUAUAUUAAAAUUGUUGCAGUUAAAAAGCUCGUAGUUGAAUUUCUGCUGCAUUACAUUUCUCUUGUUUGAGUUUGUUUUUGUGGCUUAUUUCGGAUUGAUUUUUUUCUUUUCCGGAAAAUUCUUUUAAAAAAAUAAAGAGCGCCAAACGCGGUUUUUCCCUUUAAAAAUUAAAACGGGAAAAAAAAAGAAGACUUUUGGUCUAUUUUUGUGGGUUUAAGGACCCAAAAAAAGGGUUAAAAAAAAACGUGGGGGGCCUUCCAUUUUAACUGUCAGAGGUGAAAUUCUUAG